AGCAGUCGCCACGGUAAAACGAAGGGUGCAAGCGUUAAUCGGAAUUACUGGGCGUAAAGCGUGCGUAGGCGGUGAGUUAAGUCUGCUGUGAAAUCCCCGGGCUCAACCUGGGAAUGGCAGUGGAUACUGGCUCGCUAGAGUGUGUCAGAGGAUGGUGGAAUUCCCGGUGUAGCGGUGAAAUGCGUAGAGAUCGGGAGGAACAUCAGUGGCGAAGGCGGCCAUCUGGGACAACACUGACGCUGAGGCACGAAAGCGUGGGGAGCAAACAGGAUUAGAUACCCCCGUAGUCCCUGUCUCUUAUAA
rnacentral:rRNA from 1 species